rnacentral:rRNA from 1 species
CCUAGGGGAGGCAGCAGUGGGGAAUAUUGGGCAAUGGGCGAAAGCCUGACCCAGCGACGCCGCGUGGGCGAUGAAGGCCUUCGGGUUGUAAAGCCCUUUCGUGUGGAAAGAACAGCCCCAUGACGAAUAAUCGUGGGGUUUGACGGUACCACAAGAAGAAGCACCGGCUAACUCCGUGCCAGCAGCCGCGGUAAUACGGAGGGUGCAAGCGUUGUUCGGAAUUAUUGGGCGUAAAGGGCGCGUAGGCGGUUGUGUGAGUCAGAUGUGAAAUCCUUCGGCUUAACUGAAGAACUGCAUUUGAUACUGCGCAACUAGAGUACAGGAGAGGGAAACGGAAUUCCCGGUGUAGAGGUGAAAUUCGUAGAUAUCGGGAGGAACACCAGUGGCGAAGGCGGUUUCCUGGCCUGAUACUGACGCUGAGGCGCGAAAGCGUGGGGAGCAAACA